rnacentral:SRP_RNA from 1 species
GCUGGGUGCGGUGGCGCGCGCCUGUAAUCCACGUCACUGGGAGGCUGCGGCUGGUGGAGCUCUUGAGCUCAGGGGUUCUGGACUACCGUGGGCUUUGUUGAUCGGGUGUCCGCGCUAAGAUCGGUGUUUCUAAGGGAGCUCUGAAAUACCAGGUCGUCUAAGGAGGGGUGAACCGGCCCAGGUCGGGAACGGAGCAGGUCCAAGUCCCCGUACCGGUCAAUAGUGGGAUAGCACCUGUGAGUAGACGCGGUAGUGCAGCCUGGGUGACACGGUGUGGUCCAGUCUUU